GCUUGCGGCCAUACCACCCUGAACUCAUCCGAUCUCCUCUGAUCUCGGAAGCUAAAUAGGGUCGGGCCUGGUUAGAACUUGGAUGGGAGACCACCUGAGCAGAUCAGGUGCUGUAAGCU
rnacentral:rRNA from 1 species